CUCGUACCUUUUGCAUCAUGGUCUAGCAAGUCCAACCAAGCAAAAAGAAUUUUAGUUUGCCCCCCCGAAACUAAGUGAGCUACUUUAAAAUAGCCCCAGAGCCAACCCAUCUCUGUUGCAAUAGAGUGGGACAAUUUUUAAGUAGAGGUGAUAAGCCUAUCGAACUUAGAGAUAGCUGGUUUUUUAAGAAAAGAAUUUUAGUUCAGCCCUAAGCUUCCUGUUACACAAAAACAAAACUAGACUUAGGAGUUACUCAAAUAAGGCACAGCUUAUUUGAAAUAGGAUACAACCCAGGAGAAAGGGUAAAAUUAAUUAAAAUUUUUAGUAAGUGGGCCUAAAAGCAGCCAUCUUUUAAAAAGCGUCAAAGCUUAAUAUUAACAAUUUUUCUAAUACCAUUACUAUUUUUUAACCCUUAUUUACUAUUAAAAAACCCCAUAACAUUAUGGAAGCUAUUAUGCUAGAACAAGUAACAAGAAAAAGACUUUCUCCAAAAUGUAAGCUUAAGCCAUAAUAGACAAACUAAUGGCAAUUAACGUUUAUAUAUUUUUGUAGCAACACUAACAAGAAAACCCUAUACAUCCCUUCGUCAACCUUACACUAGCACAUUUAUGGAAAGAUUAAAAGAGUAGGAAGGAACUCGGCAAAUAUUGUAC
rnacentral:rRNA from 1 species